rnacentral:rRNA from 1 species
GACGAACGCUGGCGGCGUGCCUAAUACAUGCAAGUAGAACGCUGAAGGAGGAGCUUGCUUCUCUGGAUGAGUUGCGAACGGGUGAGUAACGCGUAGGUAACCUGCCUGGUAGCGGGGGAUAACUAUUGGAAACGAUAGCUAAUACCGCAUAACAGUAGAUAUCGCAUGAUAUCUACUUGAAAGGUGCAAUUGCAUCACUACCAGAUGGACCUGCGUUGUAUUAGCUAGUUGGUGAGGUACCGGCUCACCAAGGCGACGAUACAUAGCCGACCUGAGAGGGUGAUCGGCCACACUGGGACUGAGACACGGCCCAGACUCCUACGGGAGGCAGCAGUAGGGAAUCUUCGGCAAUGGACGGAAGUCUGACCGAGCAACGCCGCGUGAGUGAAGAAGGUUUUCGGAUCGUAAAGCUCUGUUGUAAGAGAAGAACGAGUGUGAGAGUGGAAAGUUCACACUGUGACGGUAUCUUACCAGAAAGGGACGGCUAACUACGUG